rnacentral:rRNA from 1 species
GAGUAAUGUCUGGGAAACUGCCUGAUGGAGGGGGAUAACUACUGGAAACGGUAGCUAAUACCGCAUAACGUCGCAAGACCAAAGUGGGGGACCUUCGGGCCUCAUGCCAUCAGAUGUGCCCAGAUGGGAUUAGCUGGUAGGUGGGGUAACGGCUCACCUAGGCGACGAUCCCUAGCUGGUCUGAGAGGAUGACCAGCCACACUGGAACUGAGACACGGUCCAGACUCCUACGGGAGGCAGCAGUGGGGAAUAUUGCACAAUGGGCGCAAGCCUGAUGCAGCCAUGCCGCGUGUGUGAAGAAGGCCUUCGGGUUGUAAAGCACUUUCAGCGGGGAGGAAGGC